rnacentral:RNase_P_RNA from 1 species
GAAGUCGGCCAGGCAGUCGCUGUAUCGCCUUCGGGCGAUGGGGAGGAAAGUCCGGGCUCCACAGGGCAGGGUGCCAGGUAACGCCUGGGGGGCGCGAGCCUACGGAAAGUGCCACAGAAAA